rnacentral:lncRNA from 1 species
UAAGUGUUCCAGUCCCCCCUAAAUUACCUCCGGUCAAAUGUUUAAAAGUUUCAUUACAAAGUUUGCACGUAACUCUAUCAGUACCUUCUAUUAUUUCAAAAAAUUUCCAAACCGGACUUCUUCUUUUACGAGUAGAAGUUGGAGCCACUGGUGGUCUUCUACCCCUUGUAGCACUAGCAACUCCAACUCCAAUACUACCAACAUUUCCA